rnacentral:tRNA from 1 species
UAGGCAGUAGCUCAGUGGUAGAGCUUCCGCUUGGUACGCGGGAAGACCUGGGUUCGAUUUCCGGCUGCUUUC